GACGAACGCUGGCGGCGUGCCUAAUACAUGCAAGUUGAGCGCUGAAGGUUGGUACUUGUACCAACUGGAUGAGCAGCGAACGGGUGAGUAACGCGUGGGGAAUCUGCCUUUGAGCGGGGGACAACAUUUGGAAACGAAUGCUAAUACCGCAUAAAAACUUUAAACACAAGUUUGAAGUUUGAAAGAUGCAAUUGCAUCACUCAAAGAUGAUCCCGCGUUGUAUUAGCUAGUUGGUGAGGUAAAGGCUCACCAAGGCGAUGAUACAUAGCCGACCUGAGAGGGUGGUCGGCCACAUUGGGACUGAGACACGGCCCAAACUCCUACGGGAGGCAGCAGUAGGGAAUCUUCGGCCAUAGACGAAAGUCUGACCGAGCAACGCCGCGUGAGUGAAGAAGGUUUUCGGAUCGUAAAACUCUGUUGGUAGAGAAGAACGUUGGUGAGAGUGGAAAGCUCAUCAAGUGACGGUAACUACCCAGAAAGGGACGGCUAACUACGUG
rnacentral:rRNA from 1 species